rnacentral:rRNA from 1 species
AACGGCCGUACCAUGCUGAAUAUACCGGUUCUCGUUAGAUCACCGAAGUUAAGCAUCAUUGGGCGCGGUUAGUACUUGGGUGGGUGACCACCUGGGAACACUGCGUGCCGUU